rnacentral:rRNA from 1 species
AGCGAACGCUGGCGGCAGGCUUAACACAUGCAAGUCGAACGGUCCUUCGGGAUAGUGGCGGACGGGUGAGUAACACGUGGGAACGUACCCUUAGGUUCGGAACAACACAGGGAAACUUGUGCUAAUACCGGAUAAGCCCUUCGGGGGAAAGAUUUAUCGCCUUUGGAGCGGCCCGCGUCUGAUUAGCUUGUUGGUGAGGUAAUGGCUCACCAAGGCUACGAUCAGUAGCUGGUCUGAGAGGAUGGCCAGCCUCACUGGGACUGAGACACGGCCCAGACUCCUACGGGAGGCAGCAGUGGGGAAUCUUGCGCAAUGGGCGAAAGCCUGACGCAACCAUGCCGCGUGGAUGAUGAAGGUCUUAGGAUUGUAAAAUCCUUUCACCGGGGACGAUAAUGACGGUACCCGGAGAAGAAGCCCCGGCUAACUUCGUGCCAGCAGCCGCCGCCG